UACGUAGGGCGCAAGCGUUAUCCGGAAUUAUUGGGCGUAAAGAGCUCGUAGGCGGUUUGUCGCGUCUGCCGUGAAAGUCCGGGGCUCAACUCCGGAUCUGCGGUGGGUACGGGCAGACUAGAGUGAUGUAGGGGAGACUGGAAUUCCUGGUGUAGCGGUGAAAUGCGCAGAUAUCAGGAGGAACACCGAUGGCGAAGGCAGGUCUGCUGGCAUUACUGAC
rnacentral:rRNA from 1 species